UACAGAGGGGGCCAGCGUUAUUCGGAAUUAUUGGGCGUAAAGGGCGCGUAGGCGGCUCUGCGUGUCUUUCGUGAAAUCCCUCGGCCCAACUGAGGAACUGCACGGGAAACUGCCUGGCUUGAGUUCGGGAGAGGGAAGCGGAAUUCCGGGUGUAGCGGUGAAAUGCGUAGAUAUCCGGAGGAACACCGGUGGCGAAGGCGGCUUCCUGGACCGACACUGACGCUGAGGCGCGAAAGCUAGGGGAGCAAACGGG
rnacentral:rRNA from 1 species